AGAAAAGUAUGGCAGUGGAGACUUGGUACAAGAUGGAAUAUGUUUGUGUUUGUGAAGAUAGAAAUCAAAGAUCAUUUGACUUAAGAGGUAAUUGUACAGACACUUCAAAAGGAACAUGGUCUUGGAUCUGCUGAAGCCAGACCUACAGGGAACCAGACUGAGAGGCAUUAGAACUAUAAACUGACCAAUCACAGCUUUACAAGCAUGCUUGAGCGUAGGACCAAUCUUCACCUCUACUCAGAUAGCGUGUUUGAUCAUGUCCCUGCCGCCCAAGCGGUGCAGCCAGCCCCAGCUGUGAAAUGUGUUGAGUUAUGAUGUCUAGACUGGCCGGCACCAGUGCACACCACGCCAGCCAAUACCAGAGGUGGAUUGAUGUUGGGCUGUCAGUCAAGGGAGCUACAGCUGCUGGUCAGGAGGAGCAAAGAGAUGCGCUGACAACAGAAGUAGCCAUAGCUCAGCAGUCUUGUUUUGGAUACGGCCUUUACAGCGUAGCAAACUCAUCAGCUUAGCAAAAAAUCUGCUGGGAACCACCCACAAGAAAUACACAGUACACACAUGUACAUGACACGUUGAUUGGAAGGUGAUCAUUUACCGUGUUGACAUUCAGUCCCAGCGAAGCAAAGUUGAGCUCUGAUGUGGAGGGAUUAAAGGCAGAAAUCCGCAGAUGUGUCGCGGUGAUGGAACCGGUCUGCCCACUGUAAUGUGCGCCCUUCAAGAGCGUACGUACACCAUACCCUCUGCCCCAAGCAUUGGCUAAAGCAGAAUGAUUUGCAAAGACACUCAUUAAACCACCUGCGACGGGCCAUCAGAUAGGGGAACCGUACAAUUACAGCUCCAAGCGGACCUCUUCAUCACCUCACAAUCUCAGGUGUUUAGGGAGGGGAAGAGCAAACAAGUGAUAGAGAUCGGCAUAGGCAAACUGAGACAAACGACGGAGUGAGGAUUUGGGAAAUGGCAGACCGGCCCGUAACCUGUCUGUCAGUACCUGUAUGUUGGUGAAUGUAAUUAUAGGACUCUGCAUGAGUGCCACAGGAUGAUUAAAACAUGGUGAGUAUUACUGUAUUCCGCCAGGAUAAGCAAACACUAGUACUAGGAGGGAAGACGAUAUUUGAUCUUCUCUCACCAACCAGGGGUGGGGGGUGCUGCAGAUUUCCAAUGGGUGGGGUAUUUUUAACACCCCUCUGAAAACUUGAGCCUGGGCCUAUGGGGCCCGCUUUCAUGAGACUGCUGAGCAAAAUCGACAAGUGGUUGAUACAAUGGUCAUGAAUCGAAAUUGGAACUGAAAUGGCUGUUCACUUUGUGUGCUGUACAGCAUGCAGCUAUUGUGUGCUAAUUGUCGAUGUGCACAGACGCUUAAUCAACCAUUUUGGUUCCCAACAAUUGAGAUUCUUUAUGUUACAACUCUCUAUUAACAGCUUUGUGUUAGUUGAGUCAUCUUUCAUCAAGUUAUUCAUCUCUUUACACCCUCUUGUUCCAGUACUAAUAUAUGUAUAAAAACUAAAUUUUUCGAUCGCGUUAAAAAAAGAAAAUGGAACUCGACCGGAGGCAUGCAACCUCUCUCAAGGCAGACUGUCGUCAAAAUAUGACGGAUAGUGGUGAGUAGUUGGGCUGAGGUUGUCGUCUCAAACUCUGUAAUUCUCGGUCGGAAAUAUUUACAGUGUCGUUUUCCGCCCAAACCUGUUUGUAUAAAAAACAUCUGCCAAUUUCAUCAUGAGUGAGAUUCUGAUGAGGUCGUGAAUAUCACUUCCUUGUUCUUUUUCGGUCGUGGCAUGAUUGCCUUAUGGACAAUGUUUCCAGAGUUCAUUUCCAAGGUUCCGCAAUCCAGAAAAGAAAAAAAAGUGCACAGUUACUCGUUUACCCACGGAAAGAACAUUUAAAAAAAUCGGUCAGCCGUGGGACCGCUUUAUGACAACUUCCCCAGUCCGUAACGUUGCUAUAUUUGAUCAUUCCCCCCCCCCUCAAAGUUGAGGGAGAUGAAGUCAUAAUGACCUCAAAGCGAUGAGGAUUGGCGCCGUUGAGUGUCGCCAAUCAAUUUCUUGCCAGUCGCUUCUUUGUGUGGCGCAAUCAAGAAUGCGUGGUGUGCCCCGAGUGCCUUCGUUGGUUUCGUUGAGCGCUAUCGACGCUGGCCAUGCCCACAACUUGAAAACGUGCAUCCUCGACUGGUUCAUUGCUUUUAGCAUGAAACACCUGCAGGUACAUGCAGUUUUCUUAAAUAAAGGUCUUUAUUUCUUAAUUUGUCGGAGUUUUGUUGUGUAAAACUGGCGGCUAGGUUUUUCCCUGAAAUUAAUAGGCUCGUAUACUUAAAAAAAAGUUGGCGGUUUGCCCUGCCUUUUCCAAACCCGUAAGUGUGCCGCAUCUUUUUAACCUGAACAAAACCCUAUUUUAUCGAAUGUCAAGUUUUGGCCCGAGCCAUGCAUGCUAAAGCCCCCCUCAGAACCAUUUGGAAUGUCGACUAUCAUAUUUUUUUUUAUCGUAUUUUGACUUCUUGAAAUUCGAUUUGUAUUAAUGGGUGAAAUGGACCCAGAAAACGGACACCCUUUGAAAUUAGCAAGGACAUGGUUACCAAAUACAUUAUUCACACCCUAUGAACAAACCGCCCUUUGAACCAACGCCAGGGAUUUGGCAAUCUGAUUCUGUUAAACCUUCCCCCCUCAGAACGCGGGCUCAACUCUCAUCAGACCCACAAAACUGCCUGAAUUCCCGUUUCCCGCCGAGAGACUGGCUAAUUUCAAAAAACUGGAGGCGACACCUAUAUCAUCCCAGAAAUCUGUCUGACUUCUUGACACUGAAGUUGAAACGUGAACGCCCAGCGAAUGUACUUUCACACGGGAGCCCCCCUCUUCGUCUUUUACCCCCAUUGCCCGCCACACCUCGUUCGCCCCCCAACGGAGCGACAGCCAAGAAAAUGCGUCACCACGCUUUUUAUAACGGUCCCAGGAGUUUCAAAGUGGACCUUUGCCGGGCUGGGCCAAAUUAGACGAGGAUUUAAGGAUUUAGUAAUCACCCGCCGAUUGGCAGGGUAGAAAUUAGCACGGAUUACCUUACCGUAAAUGAAUUUACGAGACAUAAUUUGGCCCCGACCAAGGUGGAUUAGCUCGAUAUCCUUGUCUUGUUUGUGAAGGUGUGUUCCGUAAUCAGGGAAUGAUAAUAUUGAUGAAAGUAUGUAUGUGUGCGGUCAGGGAGUAUAGCUAUAUUUUAAAAAAUCGCCCUUUUUUCUGCGAAUAUAACCCCGUAAGGGAGUUCGGCAGUGGUGAACUUGGCUGCUGUGUUUGGCGCGGGUGAGUCGCGGCAUCAGACGGGCAUGUGAACGGCUGUCUGUGUGCUGUCUUGCGGUACAAAACUCUGUCUUGGGAAGGCAUGAUGAGAAAGGAAACAAUAGUCAAGGAUGCAUGGGAUACAGCAAACCAAUGGAAGCUGGAGACAGGAUUUAAGAGUCAGCUGUGAAUCCAACGAUGGAUAUUUUUUCAUCGAUCAGAAUUUAAUCUCAACAUUUUAUUUAACAAUAUCUUGGAAAGUGUCCCAAUGAUGUGGCGCCUUGAGCACCUGUAUCGGUUGAUAUGUGCGCCAAGUUUUUGAUACCCAUUUCUCCUCUUGUAAAGUGACACCCGCCAAUCCAUCCUGUUAACAAUAAAUUAUGAAUGAAAUUAACCAAAAAUUACUGAUAUAAACUUCCACUCUCCUUUGUCCCUUCUGAGUCGGUGGCUUCUCGGUUUAUUUGCCAACAAAGAGAGCCACGCCCAGUGGACACAGAAAUUGCUGUCAAAACAGACGACAAAUCCCAAGUGCAAGUAAUUUGAACUUUUACCCGUGCCUCUGGUCUCGCUCGCCGCUGGUCUUGCUUGGCUUGGGUCUCGAAAGCACGGUCGACCCUCCUCAGCAGCAUGUACCAAAUCGACCUGUGGCGGCAUUAGGGGUGGCCAAAUCAAGUAGCCAGGAGAAAGAGACGGCUUACGAACUUCGGGGCCGCGGUUAGCAAGUUUGUCGGUUGUUUGUAUCCAUAAAUCCCUAGUAAAUUCCGAGGUUUAUGGUACAUACGCGCAAUAUAUUGACCGUCAUAAGCUACCUGGUUGGUACUCGUAUAUCUGUUGACAUGUACACGAACUGCAUUACUAGUACAAAAACAAGACCCAGCGUUUUUUGUUGUAUAAAGAGUCUGUUUCAAAGUAAUUUUGAAGCACUUAUUAUCGUAUGGCACAUCAGUGUGAUCGGUACAGUUUGCCCCGAUGUUCUGCUGAAGGCGAAGACGCCCUACUUUCGCGUUUUCGACUCGGGUCGCCGAGCGUUUCGCUAGCUUUCCUCGGGCCCUUUUAUUAUGGCCUGUCCAUCGGAUGGUGAGUUUGGUCAGCUCUUGUUUCCUCAGCUUGAUUUUGUGCACAUGAAAGGGAUGGUAGAUUGAUGUCUUUUCUUUACAAAGUCAAAUAAAACGCCACCCAUUCAUCAACGUUUGUUUUCCCUUUCGUUUUGGAUAGACUAGAUCUGUGCCCAACGAAGCAGCCACAAAUCCUAUUUCGCGUGCUUCAUCGUCGCAUUACUUCUGGCAGAAAAAAUCAAGAUAUGAAACAUUACCGUCCACGUCUCGAAAUGACGCAACGGCUCCUAUCCUCCAAACGCCAAAUUAGUGCAAUGGGGUUGCGACCAAACUACACUUCCUGUCUCGUGGGAGUAGACAAUGGAAUGGAACCGUCAAAAUAAAGCAUACAGCCCGCCUU